AUGGAUGAGUGGCGAACGGGUGAGUAACACGUGAGUAACCUGCCCCUGACUUCGGGAUAAGCCCGGGAAACUGGGUCUAAUACCGGAUACGACCUGUCCUCGCAUGAGGGUGGGUGGAAAGUUUUUUCGGUUGGGGAUGGGCUCGCGGCCUAUCAGUUUGUUGGUGAGGUAAUGGCUCACCAAGACGACGACGGGUAGCCGGCCUGAGAGGGCGACCGGCCACACUGGGACUGAGACACGGCCCAGACUCCUACGGGAGGCAGCAGUGGGGAAUAUUGCACAAUGGGGGAAACCCUGAUGCAGCGACGCAGCGUGCGGGAUGACGGCCUUCGGGUUGUAAACCGCUUUCAGCAGGGAAGAAGCGAAAGUGACGGUACCUGCAGAAGAAGUACCGGCUAACUACGUGCCAGCAGCCGCGGUAAUACGUAGGGUACGAGCGUUGUCCGGAAUUAUUGGGCGUAAAGAGCUCGUAGGUGGUUGGUCACGUCUGCUGUGGAAACGCAACGCUUAACGUUGCGCGUGCAGUGGGUACGGGCUGACUAGAGUGCAGUAGGGGAGUCUGGAAUUCCUGGUGUAGCGGUGAAAUGCGCAGAUAUCAGGAGGAACACCGGUGGCGAAGGCGGGACUCUGGGCUGUAACUGACACUGAGGAGCGAAAGCAUGGGGAGCGAACAGGAUUAGAUACCCUGGUAGUCCAUGCCGUAAACGUUGGGCACUAGGUGUGGGGGACAUUCCACGUUCUCCGCGCCGUAGCUAACGCAUUAAGUGCCCCGCCUGGG
rnacentral:rRNA from 1 species